rnacentral:lncRNA from 1 species
CCUACGAGGUGAAGUACGCUCGAAAAAAAAACGUAUUUGAAAGAAAAAAGAAAUGCAUAGCCUAACGCGAUACAAUUCCACGAUUUUCUCAUUAUUUCUUCUUUCUCACAUUCUCCGAUCCGUUCGCUCGCUGUUCUCCCGUCGUGCUUUUCGUUUUAACCGCAAUAAGUGACACCCCCGGCGUCACUCGAAGCUGCCGGCUAGAAACACGUCAACGCGCGACGUCUCGUUCCACGUGCGAUUCGAAAACAAAACGAGAACGAUAUGCGUUUGUUUCUCCUUCUCAAUUCCAUUCCAUUAUUCACUCUCUCGCACUCCUUUCGACUAGCAUUCCUGUUUUUACAUAUAUCCCCGUGUCUGGCAAUGCUUCACGGAUCAUUUGAUUUUUCGAGUCUUCGUAGUACGACGAUCAAUGCGCGUUCGCGUACUACGGAAACUCAUCAAAUUCGAACAGUCGAUUCUUCUCUUUCUCCCCUCCACUCUAGUAUGAAACGGUUAUUUUCUGAACGCAUCCUCCCCUCGAAAGAAACUAAAUUUUCCAUUCUGCCAAUCUCGCCUGUAAAAAGUUAGGUUAUUCGUAUGAGAACGAAACUUUUUGGACUUUCGUGAGUUUUUCGACAUCGUCCAAUCGUCCAAUUCUGGCAUUACCACUCUCAUUUUUUAUGCGAUCGUCGAUGCGAGUGUACCCAAUUGAGAAAAGCGCGGAUUUGAACGAAAAUUUAAGAACGAACAUUUUCACGAAGUACGUGAUAAAAGGAGGGAGAGCGAAGAGUCGUGAAGCCAAGAGAAAUGACGAAUCCAGGGGUCUUUUCCAAAAAUAACGAAGCACCGAGGUCGGACCCGACGUAUAACGAGAGAUGAGAGAACGCGAGUGAACAUAUAGAUGCUGCUGCUGGGAGUAUAUUUUCAAAGUCCACACGCUGAGAUAUCUCGACGCUCAUGUUUUUGUAGCCAUAGACAGCCGGGGUUGCUCUGUUCUUGGAUUCUAAAGAAAAAAAAAAAAAAAAAAAAAAAAAAAAAUGAAAAAAGACGAUCGUUUGCCACCCUCGGAACGUUUUCCAGUGGCUACAAGAGCACAGCUGCAACUUCGAGUGAUGAGAGAAACGAAAGCGUUAAUGGCCAACGGAAUCUUACGAAAAAAAACUUCCGUACAUUGUAGAAUUGCAUCGUACCACGAUUCUCGGGUUAAAAACACUAAUCGUGAUUGCUUACUGCUUAUACUUUCCUACUCGGCGUGCAAAAUUAUUCGAGCGACAGAUUGGAAAAUGCGGGAGCUUAGAAUUCGCUUCUCCGUUGUCUCGAGUCGUCAGCGUGGGGGCAGUGAGAAAGAGACGACGAAUCGUAUCGAGUGAGAGAGGGGGGAAGAGUUUAUUUCGAGAUUUUCGGUACGUGGUCGUUCCUCCUCCAGUCUCCGUUCACGACGUUCUUGCGAUAUAUCAAUUUUCUUGUUCUCCGCCAUAUAUUUAUACCAAGGGACUUCAUUUUUAGGUUAUUUGCUCGAAUCGAACGGAGCAUCUUCGAAAAUAUGUUUUUAAACUGGAAAAAUACAAUUAGAUAUCUUCGCAAUCGAUAUGGGUUUUUCACGAUUAGGUAAAAUGCAAUUUCUCAAUUGUAGGAAGUACGAAAUUCUGAGUUUUAUAAGAAAGGAGACGCUUUCACGCGGACGUCCAAGCGUGCUCUACAUUUUGAGUGUAAUUGCCUCGUUAGUGUAACCUCUUAACAUAUUUAGGAUCGGAUGAGCAAUGAAUUUUUUAACGAUUUGCAAACAAACUUUGCCAUUGCGUUUCACAUUCAAGAAAAAUGUGACAUCGCCAUCUGUUGAAAAUGCAUAAAAUUGUGAACUUUCGAGCACUUUCAAAAACCGUGAUUCAAGAUUGUAUUAAAUAGUUUUUAAACUCGUUCGUGAGUAGGGAAAACGCGUGUGGAGCCACCAGUGGAAGAAUAUGAAAAAUAGAGCAGUCUCCGUACUUCGUCGAGACUUUUUUCUCCUGCUUCUGGUUUCGAUGCACUUUUGGGAAAAUCGUUGGUAGCUUUUACGAUAAUGCCACACGUCGAGGUCGCGAGGGUUCAAAAAACGCACAAAAAAAUAUCGUCUUCGAUCCUCUCGUCUUUCAUUUUUUAAAAUGAUCUCUCAAGAGAUUUUCUCGCGUCCAAAAAUGGAGACGAAUCUCACAUGGGAAGGGAACACUUACCGGGAUAAGGUCCCGAUGGCGAGACGUUAUCCUUGCCAGACUUGCCCGUAGACUCUUUGCUUCCGCCUCCUGAAACAACAAAGGAAAACAGAUAUUUCUUAUUAGCUCAUCCAUAUACAGCGAGCUCGAAUCUACAUUUACACAUGAAUAAAUAUCCAAUGACACGAGCACGAAAUUUCGUCGUAUAUCGUGUAAACGUAGUAAAAAUAGUUUGUGUCACAAAGAUAAAUGAAGAGAGAAACACGAUAAAGGUGACGGGAGCCGAGUCCCUUUACCGUACGUGUAUAACCUAUAAACAUAACCUAAAAAAUUCACAUGCCAAUUGACGUGGGUCGUGAGAAAGUAAGAGUGAGUAACGACGAAGAUUAUACGUGACGAAAUGGGUUGAAUAUCAAGUAAUUCGUGCUGAUAGAAUUGACGAAAAAAUUUUAAUUCGAAAAUCCAUAAAUUUGUACAUAAAAUUCAAUGAAUAAAGAGAUUAAAUUUG